UUCCAGACUCCUACGGGAGGCAGCAGUGAGGAAUAUUGGUCAAUGGGCGGAAGCCUGAACCAGCCAAGUCGCGUGAGGGAAUAAGGCCCUACGGGUCGUAAACCUCUUUUGCCGGGGAGCAAGGGCGGGGACGUGUCCCGGCCCGGAGAGUACCCGAAGAAAAAGCAUCGGCUAACUCCGUGCCAGCAGCCGCGGUAAUACGGAGGAUGCGAGCGUUAUCCGGAUUUAUUGGGUUUAAAGGGUGCGUAGGCGGGCUGUUAAGUCAGCGGUCAAAUGUCGGGGCUCAACCCCGGCCUGCCGUUGAAACUGGCGGCCUCGAGUGGGCGAGAAGUAUGCGGAAUGCGUGGUGUAGUGGUGAAAUGCAUAGAUAUCACGCAGAACUCCGAUUGCGAAGGCAGCAUACCGGCGCCCUACUGACGCUGAGGCACGAAAGCGUGGGUAUCGAACAGGAUUAGAUACCCGGGUA
rnacentral:rRNA from 1 species